rnacentral:rRNA from 1 species
AUUGAACGCUGGUGGCAGGCUUAACACACGCAAGUCGAGCGGAGUGAUGGUGCUUGCACUAUCACUUAGCGGCGGACGGGUGAGUAAUGCUUAGGAAUCUGCCUAUUAGUGGGGGACAACAUCUCGAAAGGGAUGCUAAUACCGCAUACGUCCUACGGGAGAAAGCAGGGGAUCACUUGUGACCUUGCGCUAAUAGAUGAGCCUAAGUCGGAUUAGCUAGUUGGUGGGGUAAAGGCCUACCAAGGCGACGAUCUGUAGCGGGUCUGAGAGGAUGAUCCGCCACACUGGGACUGAGACACGGCCCAGACUCCUACGGGAGGCAGCAGUGGGGAAUAUUGGACAAUGGGGGGAACCCUGAUCCAGCCAUGCCGCGUGUGUGAAGAAGGCCUUGUGGUUGUAAAGCACUUUAAGCGAGGAGGAGGCUCUUUUGGUUAAUACCCAGAAUGAGUGGACGUUACUCGCAGAAUAAGCACCGGCUAACUCUGUGCCAGCAGCCGCGGUAAUAC